UACGGGGGGAGCAAGCGUUGUUCGGAAUCACUGGGCGUAAAAGGGAGUCUAGGCGGUUUGGUAAGUGGGAUGUGAAAUGCCCGGGCUCACCCCGGGACCUGCAUCCCAAACUGCUGAGCUUGAGUACAGGAGAGGGUGGGGGAAUUCCAGGUGUAGCGGUGAAAUGCGUAGAUAUCUGGAGGAACACCGGUGGCGAAGGCGCCCACCUGGCCUGCUACU
rnacentral:rRNA from 1 species